rnacentral:lncRNA from 1 species
GAAAAGCAAGGUUUAUUCAGCACCGGUGCGGGUGCAGAGGAGUCACCUCCAGAGUCUGAGCACCAGGUCUUUGUUCUCAGUAACUUUUAUACACUACAAGGUCUUGAUUUUUCCAUGUAAGCAUCCCGGACCUCCCCCAUCCCCAAGCAGACAGUGUUCCUCCCUAAGAAACUGAGCAAGCAAGGUUACAGAAGCAGAACUGAUAAGGAAUGCUGGGUAUCUAAUUAGCAGGGCUGCUGGCUUGGACAGAGAGCACACAGUUGUUACAUUAUUACAAGAAGGGUGGCAUAGUGAUAAGCACAGCUGGAAAGGCUUGUAGCUGCCUUCUUAGCCAAGGGGGGGGGUUGUUUUUUAGUUAAAACUCCAUUUCACUUUAACCACUGUUGAGCUCUUGUUAUCUUUAAUAGCACUCCAAGGUAGGUACACAACAGUCUUCUACUCAUCUUCCAAAAUCCAGGUCAACUACCACCCACUCACGUCUCCCUUCUCUGCAUCCUCCUCCUGAUUCAAUAGCAUCAGCAAUUGAAGUUCAUUCAGACUGUGUCAGAUGUAACUUCUACCCUGAUUUCCAGGACCCUGAACAUAGUCUGAUGCAUGAAUCUGUCAUCGCUCAGAAAUGUACUGGCCUUUACCUGUAAGAAGUAACUUGUCUAUCCCUAUCUUCUUCCCUAGAUUAUAAACUCUUUCUGGGCUUAUUUAAGUGCCCUCAGUAUUCACUGAAUGAGGGUCCAUGUGGUAGAAACUCAGUGUCCACUGAUUGGAGGCCCUUGGAUAGACCCUCAGUAUCUGCUUAAUAGAGCAAUGGCGUGAUCAAUAUAGCAGCUGUUCCGUGAAUUUACUACAAGAGGCCCACUUUUCUCAGGCUGAAGUCAGUUUCUUUAGACUCCAAGCUGAUCAAAAUUUCUUCAGAAAAACAUGUUUGUUGAGUAAAACGGGGUUUGAGUCAUAAAAUAUGUCCUGAGCACUCAGUGCUUAUCAUGUGCCAGAUGCUGUAUCUGGAGUGUCUUGGAGGAUGAAAAAUUGAAUAAGACAUGGUUGCUGAUCUCAGGGAAUGUGUAUUCCGGUUAUUCCCCAGUACAGGGUGAAACAUGUGAUAGGAAAAGCUCAGUGAACAAAAUGAGGAACCACAAAUUAGACAGGGGUUUAGAGAAAAACUUUAUGGGGAGAUGAAUUUGUAGGAUAAAUAGUUAGAUGAAGAAGGGAGGGAAAGACCUUCCAGAAGAGAGAGCAGUGUGUUCAAAGAUAGGGAAGUAAGAAACAGUGUUACUUACUUAGGAAAAGAAAGUAACUCUGUAUGGCUGGAAUUGAUCUCCUUUGCUUCUGGAACAAAGGAAACCUGAUGUAUUUCAAAGAAUUACAUAUUAGUAUUACUUAUUGGAUUGAGUAACUUUCUAUCAGAUAAAUCAUAGGCUUUUCACCUAAAAUUGGCUUGUGCGCUAGUGCCAGUUUUUUGUUUGUUUCUUUGUUUUCCGGUGCCCACAGAGUAUGUGGAAGUUCCUGGGCCAAGGAUCAAACCCAAGCCACAGCAUUAACCAGAGCCACGGCAGUGACAACCCUGGAUCCUUAACCUGCUGAACCACCAGGGAACUCCUGCCAGGUGAUAUAUAUAUAUUUUUUUACCUUUCCUCCCCCCAGCUUCAAAAGCUCUCUAUGAUUGUUAUCUAAAAGCAGCAAAAUUAUUUCUUCCACAGAAGACUAUUUUAGAGCCCUCUAAACUUUUUGUACAGGGCAGAACUCAAUUUACAAGUAGUACUUUAAGGAAGAAACUGGGCUCUAGCUCCAGAGGUGGGGGAGGGGGAGACAGCUCCUCCUGGCAUCCGUGCUAAUACAGGACUAUGCGGGUAAAAAGUACCUGUCCAGAACCCAGGGAAAUACAUUUAAUGUAAGGUUUAAGGUGAGGUGGGACAUAGGAAAACCAUCCCAAUCACUCUUGGAGGCUUCAGCAUCCCUUUCGAAAGUGGGAAACUAGGACAUCCUCUUUUGUUGACUCCCUUUUGCUCAUCGUGCUCUUCUGCUGGGUCAUUUGGGGCAGGUGUGGGUCAGCCAAGCCGGCCCCACUUCCUUCAGCUGGACUCUCUAAUGCCUGAUUGAAUGCACCUCUUACACAAUUUUCUUUGCCAAAGAAAAUCUUCUGAAGGUCCCCUAGAUAGAUACUUGUUUUUCACAGGUCACUGGAAAGUUCUUGAUAUUAAACAAGCACAAUUGAAAAGGGUUUCAGUUACUUCCUCAAAGACUUGAAUAUGAUUUCUCCCGAGAGAAUGAAAACAGUUGGAAGCACUCAGAUUAUCUCCACCUUUUCUUGUCUGCCCUUUCCUCCCCUUGGGAUUGGUCAAGACCGAGGGAAAUAGGCCAGACCAGCAACUCGUUUAAUGCCGAAAUAAGGAAUAUUUAGGUCACUCUAUAAAAUCACUUAACCUGUUUAUGUAAUACAUAGUCAGGAAAUCUGACGGCCAAUCUCAAAAACAAUAUCAUUAUUUUGAAAAUUGAGAAUGCUAUAACUUAGAGGAUUUUGAAAAUGUAAUAAAGUAUAGACUCUGCCUAGAGGGAGAUUCUACCAUAAUUUUCAAUUAGCUUAACCAAGCAGGUAAAUGAUCAGUCACAGUAAAUUUUACCACUUCAAUCAUCAACGAUCAAACUACUUUGGGAGUCAUUUCUACUCUCAUAGUUGGGGUAAAUAAACAUGGCACAAAAUGGGGAAGUGGGGGACGGGGACAGGAAAGACUGAGUGAAGUGGCAAUGAAGAUCUGGAAAGGAAUUUUAAUUCUAAUUCCUUCUUCCCCUCACCCCAAGAACCAGGUGAAUUCCCUUUGCUCACCAUGCAAACUCGUUAAAUAAACACAGGCGUAUCUUAGCCCUGGCCAAAGUAGGAUGCUCUGCUGAUUCACAGCUUCACCUGUGCAAAGGCAGACGCCAUGGUGAACAGGUUGCAGAAAGAUAAACCUACUUUGCUCCCUGCACCAGGCAUGAGACCAGCAUGAGAUUGAAGCUCUCAAAGUGUCGGUAUCACUUCCAUAUAAGAUCACAUUUAGGCAUAAAAGUGUCCUUUGCCAGAUGAAAGAGCUUCUUUUGUUCUUUUCUUUUCUUUUUUUUUUUUGCCUUUUAAGGACCGCACCCAAAGCAUAUGGAGGUUCCCAGGCUAGGGGUCAAAUCAGACCUGUAGCUGCCAGCCUGCACCACAGCCACAGCAAUGUGGGAUCCGAGCUGCAUCUGAGACCUACACCACAGCUCAUGACAAUGCUGGAUCCUUAACCCACUGAGGCCAGGGAUUGAACCCACAUCCUCAUUAAUACUAGUCAGGUUUCUUAACCACUGAGCCACCGCAGGAACUCCUGAAAGAGCUUCUUAAAUAUGGAAUCCAAUCAAGGAAUCCACUUUAUACCAAAGGGGCUGUAGCAGUGGGCACAUGGCCAUAGAACCCAUCAGAGCUAUCCUGUGACAUAACACCCAGAAGCUAUCAGCCUAAUAAGCAAUAGAACAGCCUGUUGAAAACCUGGCUGAACUGCCAACUUGGAGAUGGUACCAUGUGAAGGUAAAGUGCCCCUGUCCAGGACGCAGUUAAGCUCUAAAUCAGUCACCAUCAUGUGGCGCUAUACCCCAACAGAAGAGUACCUGGAAAUGAGACCCAAGGGGUGUCCCUGUUCACCAGUCAAUUACAGUGACCCUCCAAGCACUUGGAGAAUUUGUGCUUUUCAUCCUCCCAACUGUAACUACAUGUUUAAAGCUCUUGGAGUUUCCCGCUGUGGCGCAACAGGAUCGGGGGCAUUUGGGGAGCACUGGGAUGCUGGUUCGAUGCCCAGCCUAGCACAGUGGGUUAGGGAGCCAGCGUUGCCACAGCUGUGGCUUAGGUUGCAACUGCAGCUUGGAUCUGAUCCCUGGCCCAGGAACUCCAUAUGGUGUGGGGCAGUCAAAAAAAAAGGUCUUGGUCCUGGGAGUGGGGUUGGGAGUACCUUUCUACAAGGGAACACAGCUAGAGUCUUCAGAGAACUUUUUUUUUUUUUUUUUUUUUUUUUUUUUGUCUUUUUGCCUUUUCUAGGACUGCUCCCGCAGCAUAUGGAGGUUCCCAGGCUAGGGUAUGUUGCCUAAACCUUCAGAGGUGCUGAAGGGGUAGCACCUCUGGGUAGUGAGGAGGCUCUAGAAAGGUCAGCAGAGGCGGGAAAGAAUGGGUAUAGUUUGCUGCCUCAAGACCAGCUACAGCAGCAGAGGGGGCUUCUAGCUCAUCUCACUAACCUUCCUUUUGUAAGCAUCCCCCUGGGGAAAAUGGUACCCCAGUGCCCUGAAGGAGCCGCUCCUCAGACUCUUGUGAAGAAAGUGGAUCUGAAUGAUGGGAGGCAUGGACCGUCCUGGAUGCAGUCUGGGAUGGCCCCCCCAGACCACAGCUGUCAGCCCUCUCUGGAAUUGCUUCAGCUGAAGAGGGCUGGUUUGCUCAAAGUCAGCUCCUCUGCGGGGAAGCCAGCCUUGGCUGACUGAUGCUCAAUCCUAUUUUCUUUGGUGCAGCAGGCAUUAAUUAGAGCCCUACCCUAAUAAACGUCCCAUAUGCUAAUCGCCAUUUCAGAGCUGACUUCCCAGGAAAUCUUAUCAGUGGCAGUUUCUCUAGUGUCGCCUGCAGUUUGAAGGAGAAGACAAUAAACAAAUAAAAUAAAUGUGUGAUUUGUACUCGGAAGGAAAUGAGCAAGAUGCAGGGACAGCAAAUACAGGCAAGGUGACAUUUAAGCCAAGAGAAGUCAGC